rnacentral:misc_RNA from 1 species
CCAAUAGCGUAUAUUAAAGUUGUUGCAGUUAAAAAGCUCGUAGUUGAAUUUCGGGGUUAGUAGGUUGGUCAUGCCUCUGGUAUGUACUGGUCUCACUGAUUCCUCCUUCCUGAUGAACCUUAAUGCCAUUUAUUUGGUGUUUUGGGAAUUUGGACUGUUACUUUGAAAAAAUUAGAGUGUUUAAAUCAAGCUAACGCUUGAAUACAUUAGCAUGGAAUAAUGAAAUAGGACGUUCGAUCCUAUUUUGUUGGUUUCUAGGAUUGACGUAAUGAUUAAUAGGGAUAGUUGGGGGCAUUAGUAUUCAAUUGUCAGAGGUGAAAUUCUUGGAUUUAUUGAAGACUAACUACUGCGAAAGCAUUUGCCAAGGAUGUUUUCAUUAAUCAAGAACGAAAGUUAGGGGAUCGAAGACGAUCAGAUACCGUCGUAGUCUUAACCAUAAACUAUGCCGACUAGGGAUCGGAUGAUGUUAAUUUUUUAAUGACUCAUUCGGCGCCUUACG